rnacentral:lncRNA from 1 species
AAAACAUAAUACAAAACAAGAAACACGAACAAUGCACAGACAUGAAACUGGAACAGAAACAAUGACGGCUGGGGAAGGAACCAAAGGCAGUGACAUAUAUAGGGCAGGUAAUCAGGGAAGUGAUGGAGGUGCGCGUAACGAUGGUGACAGGUGUGCGCCCUAACGAGCAGCCUGGUGACCGAGAGGCCGGAGAGGGAGCACACGUGACAAAGACAGUAACAGAUUUAAUUUACAAAGGAACUAGACAGAAUAACAGAUUUAAUUUACAAAGGAACUAGACAGAAUAACAGAUUUAAUUUACACAGGAACUAGACAGAAUAACAGAUUUAAUUUACACAGGAACUAGACAGAAUAACAGAUUUAAUUUACAAACGAACUAGACAGCAUAACAGAUUUAAUUUACAAAGGAACUAGACAGAAUAACAGAUUUAAUUUACACAGGAACUAGACAGAAUAACAGAUUUCAUUUACACAGGAACUAGACAGAAUAACAGAUUUCAUUUACACAAGGGAGCAACUGCUUGUCAAGAAGCCACACCAGCCACACUCACGCUAGAAGUUCAGCUCCCUGAAACAAUUAUGUUCAAAUAAAAAACUAAUUUAACCAUAAAAAGGGGAAUUUCUAUCAUCCUAAUGAAGGUGUAGAUCACAUCUCACAUUCUAGUGUUUCUAAUGAAGGUGUAGAUCACAUCUCACAUUCUAGUGUUCCUAAUGAAGGUGUAGACUACAUCUCACAUUCCAGUGUUUCUAAUGAAGGUGUAGAUUACAUCUCACAUUCCAGUGUUUCUAAUGAAGGCGUAGAUUACAUCUCACAUUCCAGUGUUCCUAAUGAAGGUUUAGAUUACAUCUCACAUUCCAGUAUUCAAACUUGUAAACAAGACUGUAUAGGAUUUCUGUUAAUCAGACUCCUUGCAGCCAAUGGCAAUGUCUGCUAUAGCUAUAAUGCCGGGAGCCACUUGUGGAUUUGACAGCUCUAACGCAGUUCUGCCUCCGACACCAUCAAAACAACUGCUAUGCUGAUGUUGGCUGAAGCAGAUGUGAUUGAAUGGAGCCGUUGGUCCUCUGAGGUUGGAGCGCAGGGUAAGUGAUAGUACAGCACUCCUGGAGAUGUUUCAUUAGGAGUUAAGUGCCUUGCUCAACGACAGAUGGAUGGUUCAUAAAGAUCUUAAUCCGCUCCGACUAGCAUACAUCAUGCUCUACCCUCACUGUGAUCUGUCCAUAGAAGAAGGUUGCCUGUCUGUCUCUGGUGGCUGCAGAGAACGGCAGACUGCUGCCCUCUGUUGUCCUGGUGGGGACCUGCAGGCACUCCAACCUCCUGUUGGAACUCCUCUCCCCACCUCCUCCAACUGAGUCCUGCCACAGGGGGCAGGAGGAGGAGGAGUAUCCAGAGGAGGUGGAGGAAGAGGCGGAGCUACCCGGGCGGACCACACCACACACACGCUCCCUGGAGCUGUCUGAGAAGUUGGAGUCGACUGUGAAGACGGAAGAGCAGUAGGCCCGUCUCAGCCCCUCUCCUACAG